UAGGGAAUCUUCCGCAAUGGACGAAAGUCUGACGGAGCAACGCCGCGUGAGUGAUGAAGGCUUUCGGGUCGUAAAACUCUGUUGUCAGGGAAGAACAUCCGGGAUGACCUCCCGGUCUGACGGUACCUGAUCAGAAAGCCCCGGCUAACUACGUGCCAGCAGCCGCGGUAAUACGUAGGGGGCAAGCGUUGUCCGGAAUUAUUGGGCGUAAAGCGCGCGCAGGCGGUUUCUUAAGUCUGGUGUGAAAGCCCGCAGCUCAACUGCGGAGGGCCACUGGAAACUGGGAAGCUUGAGUGUAGGAGAGGAGAGCGGAAUUCCACGUGUAGCGGUGAAAUGCGUAGAUAUGUGGAGGAACACCCGUGGCGAAAGCGGCUCUCUGGCCUAUAACUGACGCUGAGGCGCGAAAGCGUGGGGAGCAAACA
rnacentral:rRNA from 1 species